AACGAACGCUGGCGGCAGGCUUAACACAUGCAAGUCGAACGAUCCCUUCGGGGAUAGUGGCAGACGGGUGAGUAACACGUGGGAACGUACCUUUCAGUCGGGAAUAACUCAUGGAAACGUGAGCUAAUACCGGAUACGCCCUUUUGGGGAAAGAUUUAUCGCUGAAAGAUCGGCCCGCGUCUGAUUAGCUAGUUGGUGGGGUAAUGGCCCACCAAGGCGACGAUCCUUAGCUGGUCUGAGAGGAUGAUCAGCCACAUUGGGACUGAGACACGGCCCAAACUCCUACGGGAGGCAGCAGUGGGGAAUAUUGGACAAUGGGCGCAAGCCUGAUCCAGCCAUGCCGCGUGAGUGACGAAGGCCUUAGGGUUGUAAAGCUCUUUCACCCACGACGAUAAUGACGGUAGUGGGAGAAGAAGCCCCGGCUAACUUCGUGCCAGCAGCCGCCGUAAUAC
rnacentral:rRNA from 1 species